rnacentral:rRNA from 1 species
AGUGAACGCUGGCGGUAGGCCUAACACAUGCAAGUCGAACGGCAGCACAGGAGAGCUUGCUCUCUGGGUGGCGAGUGGCGGACGGGUGAGGAAUACAUCGGAAUCUAGUCUGUCGUGGGGGAGAACGUAGGGAAACUUACGCUAAUACCGCAUACGACCUACGGGUGAAAGCAGGGGACCUUCGGGCCUUGCGCGAUUGAAUGAGCCGAUGUCGGAUUAGCUAGUUGGCGGGGUAAAGGCCCAACAAGGCGACGAUCCGUAGCUGGUCUGAGAGGAUGAUCAGCCACACUGGAACUGAGACACGGUCCAGACCCCUACGGGAGGCAGCAGUGGGGAAUAUUGGACAAUGGGCGCAAGCCUGAUCCAGCCAUACCGCGUGGGUGAAGAAGGCCUUCGGGUUGUAAAGCCCUUUUGUUGGGAAAGAAAUCCAGCUGGCUAAUACCCGGUUGGGAUGACGGUACCCAAAGAAUAAGCACCGGCUAACUUCGUGCCAGCAGCCGCGGUAA